AAAUUGAAGAGUUUGAUCAUGGCUCAGAUUGAACGCUGGCGGCAGGCCUAACACAUGCAAGUCGAGCGGUAGCACAGAGAGCUUGCUCUCGGGUGACGAGCGGCGGACGGGUGAGUAAUGUCUGGGAAACUGCCUGAUGGAGGGGGAUAACUACUGGAAACGGUAGCUAAUACCGCAUAAUGUCGCAAGACCAAAGUGGGGGACCUUCGGGCCUCAUGCCAUCAGAUGUGCCCAGAUGGGAUUAGCUAGUAGGUGGGGUAAUGGCUCACCUAGGCGACGAUCCCUAGCUGGUCUGAGAGGAUGACCAGCCACACUGGAACUGAGACACGGUCCAGACUCCUACGGGAGGCAGCAGUGGGGAAUAUUGCACAAUGGGCGCAAGCCUGAUGCAGCCAUGCCGCGUGUGUGAAGAAGGCCUUCGGGUUGUAAAGCACUUUCAGCGGGGAGGAAGGCGAUAAGGUUAAUAACCUUGUCGAUUGACGUUACCCGCAGAAGAAGCACCGGCUAACUCCGUGCCAGCAGCCGCGGUAAUACGGAGGGUGCAAGCGUUAAUCGGAAUUACUGGGCGUAAAGCGCACGCAGGCGGUCUGUCAAGUCGGAUGUGAAAUCCCCGGGCUUAACCUGGGAACUGCAUUCGAAACUGGCAGGCUAGAGUCUUGUAGAGGGGGGUAGAAUUCCAGGUGUAGCGGUGAAAUGCGUAGAGAUCUGGAGGAAUACCGGUGGCGAAGGCGGCCCCCUGGACAAAGACUGACGCUCAGGUGCGAAAGCGUGGGGAGCAAACAGGAUUAGAUACCCUGGUAGUCCACGCCGUAAACGAUGUCGAUUUGGAGGUUGUGCCCUUGAGGCGUGGCUUCCGGAGCUAACGCGUUAAAUCGACCGCCUGGGGAGUACGGCCGCAAGGUUAAAACUCAAAUGAAUUGACGGGGGCCCGCACAAGCGGUGGAGCAUGUGGUUUAAUUCGAUGCAACGCGAAGAACCUUACCUGGUCUUGACAUCCACAGAACUUUCCAGAGAUGGAUUGGUGCCUUCGGGAACUGUGAGACAGGUGCUGCAUGGCUGUCGUCAGCUCGUGUUGUGAAAUGUUGGGUUAAGUCCCGCAACGAGCGCAACCCUUAUCCUUUGUUGCCAGCGGUUAGGCCGGGAACUCAAAGGAGACUGCCAGUGAUAAACUGGAGGAAGGUGGGGAUGACGUCAAGUCAUCAUGGCCCUUACGACCAGGGCUACACACGUGCUACAAUGGCAUAUACAAAGAGAAGCGACCUCGCGAGAGCAAGCGGACCUCAUAAAGUAUGUCGUAGUCCGGAUUGGAGUCUGCAACUCGACUCCAUGAAGUCGGAAUCGCUAGUAAUCGUAGAUCAGAAUGCUACGGUGAAUACGUUCCCGGGCCUUGUACACACCGCCCGUCACACCAUGGGAGUGGGUUGCAAAAGAAGUAGGUAGCUUAACCUUCGGGAGGGCGCUUACCACUUUGUGAUUCAUGACUGGGGUGAAGUCGUAACAAGGUAACCGUAGGGGAACCUGCGGUUGGAUCACCUCCUUA
rnacentral:rRNA from 1 species